rnacentral:miRNA from 20 species
AAGGUCCAACCUCACAUGUCCU